CGGAACCGGCGCGUCCUGGAGGAGCCACGGGCCGGUGCUGCCUCCUGGAGCUGGACAGAGGAGGGCAGAGUUUCUGCAGACCCUGCUGAGCUGCUGUGGUCAGCAUCCAGGCCCUGAGCAUCCAGCCUUCACAGGUCCAGCAAAGCUCUCCCCUCCAAUGACCAGCCUAUCCCUUCCUUGUGUGCAAUAAAGCCCCUGAUUGCCAGGCCA